GAGGUUUCCGUCGCCACGGAAAUGAUGUCUUGACUGGGGGUGACAGAGAAAAUGGUUAGUGUCCUUUAGAAGGAGUAUGUAAAUCGUCAGGAAAGAUGCUAAAAACUAGCAGCUGAUUCGCUGGGUGGGUAUCAUUGAUUUGUGGCGUUUAUUUGGACUGUAAUUGGGCGGUGAGAGAGGGGAUUGGAUGUCUGAGUCAUAAAACAUCGUGAUGGUGGAUUCUGAUGGUUGUUGAUUCUUGGUUUGAUCGUUUGAAUAGCACCAGUGAAUUUGAGCACUGUUUCCAUUAUGUGGAACGGUGUCAGGGUAUUAAUGGUGAAAAGCAACCUCUAUGGUAAAACAUAAUUGUACAUGUUUCGGUAAACUAGCGAGGUUGAAUUUGGUUAUUUGAACAUUUCCCUUGAUACGUAGACAUACGUAACAGGGGCAAGUUGUUUUUCCUUGAGGAACACGCAGAUGGUGUUUUGUUUUAUUGAGAUGUAAAUGUGAGUUGAAGAAGCCAAGGGAAAAUACGUUAUUUUUAUUAAAUAUCAGGGAUUAUAAUCUUGGGGAGAAUGAGGCCAUAAACGACCAAAUUGGAAAGGCCUGGAAGUUUUGAUUAAUCAUUAAGGUUUGCAAAUAUAUACACAUAAAACAUUUGUUAGGACUAUUUGUUUUGGUGCAAAGGUAUUUUAAAGAGACACGCUCAAAUAUGGAACUUUAUGAGUUUUUAUUUUAUGAGUUUUAAAUUACACAAGUGAAUUUGGAUUUUAAGGAUAAAGGGUUCUUUAAUAUGUGUCUAGUGUAGUAUAGAACUUGACUAUAAAAGGGUGGGUUGACUCAUGGACCUUAUCAUGACUGUCUUCUAGGGUCUGAUCAGCCUUAGGGGAGAGUCAUUGGUAUAAUGAAUGUGGUCAUAUUGAGUUACUAGUUUUAAGGUAAAUUCAUUAUAAAGGAGUUUAGGUUAGGAGGUUAGGAUAGGAGAUAUAUUAAGCCAAUAGGGCAGGGAAUUACAUAGAAAAAUAAGUUUCAGUUCUUAGGGGUGAUAAAUUACUGUAGAUAAGGAAUUCUGCACUCUGCAACAUAUAUUAAAUUCAUGUUAUUGUCAGAUAGAAUACUGAGGGUCCUUGAAGGAAGGAUUUUGAUAUGAUAAGCAUUUGUUUUGAUUUUUUUUUUUGACCAUUAGGGGUUAAAAAAAAAAAUAGUAUUAAAUGUAACAGGUAUAUAGGACAUCUGUGAUGAUUUAGGAUUAUUGUUAGGUUGAUUAAGGAAAUGUAAGGACUUUAGAGAUUGACACUCAUAGACAUGAUUUUAGAUAAAGUCAAACAGUUAGAAGCUUAGUGGUAUUUGAGAAAUAUGAGAGAAAAGGUUUAAAUUGGUAAAUAUAUAUUUAAGAAAAUAUAAGUAGCGCAGAUAGUUCUUAAGUCGAUAAGAAACUUGACAGGGAAUUGGUACUGGAUUGAUGCCCAAGGGAGAAUUGGACAUGUGGAAAACUAAAAGGGGCUCCUUCAUGAUGAUGUCAGACAUAAAGAUAAUAUACUAAUCUUACCUAAGUCAUUAUUUAGAGUAGGUAAGGUUGAUACCUGGGCAGAGUCAGGUAUCAAAAGGGGGAUGGGUAAAUUGUGGUCUAGGAUAGGAUGGGGCUUAUUGGAUAAGAAACUAAUAAAAAAAAAUAAAAAUGUAAGCUAACAAUUGGGAAUAGAAGUUAAAGAUAUAAUCAGAUAAAACAUAUGAGAAAUUGUUUGUUAACCAAGCCUGUAUGUCCAGGAUUUUAUGCAUUACAGGUGAACUACAGGUGAAGUCACUCAAUCCAGUCCCAGAGGCUUGGGGACCAUAGAAGACCCCUGGUGACAGCUAGCUGAAAGAGCUACCCAGAUUCAUAUCGCACGGCGGAAGGGUAAGACAUUUUUUCACUGUCGGACAAUAAACAGAGUUCGGGAGAAGAACUGGAAUUAACAGAAUUAACAGGAGGAGUCUGUUCUCUUGGCCUGGUUUGGUAAGUACACUGGUAUGAUGGUUACUGGAUUUCUGACCCUAAUUCUUGUAUUAUUUGUUAUUGAUGUGAUGUGCUGCUUGCAUCAUACCGUGUUUUGAGAAGUCUGUUACAGAUGUGGUGAGGGCUUCAGGCAUAUGCCUUUGCUUGAUGCUCCAGUUGGCGAUGCCGAUACGGAAGCAUGCUUUCAGGGGAGGAUGGGACUGACUGAGGAUGACACAUGGUUUUGAGUCCCUGGGUGGCAAGGAGCCCACCUGGUACAGGAUAGGAGUAGCUGAGAGGACCAGAUGGUUUCUAAUAAUUCUUUACUCUGUUUUCCAUGACCAAAGUUUUAUCCUACAUCUUACAUGUCAAUAACAAUAAAGUUUUAUCCUGUUUUUGAUAAGUGACACCCUUGGGGGGAACAAAAGCAUACAACAAAGGCAUAUAUAACUUGUUAUUAGUAAUAAACUUUUUAUUAUUUUCAUGAAAUGCUAUGACUGCUGAAAUAAAGGAUAAUUGAGUGACACCCUAGCAGGAGUCAAAAGGGGGACCUAAAUUUCACACUA